rnacentral:rRNA from 1 species
GGAAUCUUCCGCAAUGGACGAAAGUCUGACGGAGCAAUGCCGCGUGAGUGAAGAAGGUUUUCGGAUCGUAAAACUCUGUUGUUAGAGAAGAACAAGGAUGAGAGUAACUGCUCAUCCCCUGACGGUAUCUAACCAGAAAGCCACGGCUAACUACGUGCCAGCAGCCGCGGUAAUACGUAGGUGGCAAGCGUUGUCCGGAUUUAUUGGGCGUAAAGCGAGCGCAGGCGGUUCUUUAAGUCUGAUGUGAAAGCCCCCGGCUCAACCGGGGAGGGUCAUUGGAAACUGGAGAACUUGAGUGCAGAAGAGGAGAGUGGAAUUCCACGUGUAGCGGUGAAAUGCGUAGAUAUGUGGAGGAACACCAGUGGCGAAGGCGACUCUCUGGUCUGUAACUGACGCUGAGGCUCGAAAGCGUGGGGAGCAAACAGGAUUAGAUACCCUGG